UACGGAGGGGGCAAGCGUUGUUCGGAAUUACUGGGCGUAAAGGGCGCGCAGGCGGCUGCUCAAGUCGGGCGUGAAAUCUCCGGGCUUAACCCGGAAGGGUCGUUCGAUACUGUUGAGCUAGAGUGUGGAAGAGGCAACUAGAAUUCCGUGUGUAGCGGUGAAAUGCGUAGAUAUCUGGAGGAACACCGGUGGCGAAGGCGACAUCCUGGACCGGUAUUGACGCUGAGGCGCGAAAAGCCAGGGG
rnacentral:rRNA from 1 species